CCCAGACCCGGUUUGUGCUGCAGCCACAAACAACAGCACCAGCACAACAUGGGGCCUUCUUCAGCAGCUCACUGCUUGGAAAGAUUUCAAGAGCGCUUCUGUCCAAUUUUAAGCCCUACAACUCAGCAGCCAAACAUAAAGCUGAAUUACAGAAGAUACCAUGAAGAAGGACUCGAAUCUGAAGAAAAUGCAUUUCUGGCAAUCUCAGAGCUUCUACGCCUUACAGUAACUCUGAAAAGCACCUGGGGUGGAUACAUACAUAGCUUACCACUAUGAAGCAUUUGGAAAAAGCCAGUGCAAGUUUGAAAUAUGGAACAGUGAGACACAACAGUAGUCCUUAAAAGCAACAUCUUAGAGUCUUCCCUCACUACUUACUCUUGAUCCGGAGAACCUUUCUUGUUUCUCUCUACUGAAGUGGUAAUGCAAUGAGUGUGGCACCAUCUUUCCAGAAAACUUUGCUAUGCUGUACCAGAAGUGAUUAAGCUACAGAGAGAAGGGAAGCUUUGGCUGACACCCUUUAUAGGAGACUCAUCAAAGCUUGUGUGUGUGUUUUUCCUUCUAGAAAUCUGAGAAAUUUCUCAACAGGCAUGAAUGUAAACUUAAAGCAACUCUGGGCAGUUUUACUUUACACGUCAAGUGCGAGCAGCAGAAUCACAAGAUAAGGUGUGUAAUGCCACCAAGCAAGCUGAAACAAAGUCAAAUAGGUCUGAUCAUUUGAAGACCUUCAGAAUAACUUUCUGUGCCUGUUGCUUUUGUGGCAUCACAAGGAGAACACUUAAGGAGCCAAGGAACAUAUCACCACCACUGUCAGAGAGCUCCUGCCUCACUGCUGCUCCUAAACCAGAGAUCUUGGAAGAGCCUGUUUGGUUUUAUGCCGUUCAAGGAUUCCUUCACACUAGGCAAAAAAACAGCUCCGCAUGUAAGACAGAUUUCCUUUGCACCACUCUGUGCGAAGCAGGAGAAGCUUCUGAGUGCUGUCCAGUUCACUUUAUUUUGCAUCAUGUCUCAUUGACUCAAAGAGAAUAAUACCAAAAUAGUCAGUUAAGAGUGAUAUUGGUAAAUGGCUGCCACUGUAGUGCAAG
ensembl:lncRNA